rnacentral:rRNA from 1 species
UGGGGAAUUUUGCACAAUGGGGGAAACCCUGAUGCAGCGACGCCGCGUGAUUUAGAAGGCCUUCGGGUUGUAAAAAUCUUUUCUAUGGGAAGAAAAUGACAGUACCAUAGGAAUAAGGAACGGCUAAUUACGUGCCAGCAGCCGCGGUAAUACGUAAGGUCCGAGCGUUGUCCGGAAUCAUUGGGGGGAAAGGGUACGUAUGCGGGUAAGCAAGUUAGAAGUGAAAUCCUGUAGCUCAACUACAGUAAGCUUUUAAAACUGCUCAUCUUGAGAUAUGGAAGGGAAAGUGGAAUUCCGAGUGUAGCGGUGAAAUGCGCAACUAUUAGGAGGAAGACCGGUGGCGAAGGCGACUGUCUGGGCAUAAACGGACGCUGAGGUACGAAAGCGUGGGUAGCAAACAGG